UGGGCGCAGCUGAUCAGCCAUGCCGCGUGAGUGAUGAAGGCCCUAGGGUUGUAAAGCUCUUUCUCCAGGGAAGAUAAUGACAGUAUCUGGUAAAGAAACCCCGGCUAACUCCGUGCCAGCAGCCGCGGUAAUGUGCCGGCCCCCCC
rnacentral:rRNA from 1 species